rnacentral:pre_miRNA from 1 species
AUAAAGUUCCUUUGGGUAAGAAGUACUACUUGUCAUCAAAAUGGAUAAAAGGAGAUGUAUCUAGACGUAUUUUAGUUCUAGAUACGUCCAUUUUUAUCCAUUUUGAUGACAAGUAUUUUCGGACGGAGGGAGCUUAUA